AUCCUAAGGUCUGCCAUUGAUUGCUUUUGACUAGCGUGGAGCUUCUGUGUUAAAUAAUGUAGCUUCUAAGUUUUGUGACCCUGGUGGUAACAGGGAGCUGGCUACAAGGAUUUGGGGUGAAAUGAUAGAACAGAAAAAAUGAUUCAAGGAGUUGAAAUGGCCUUGGCUUAAUGCUCUAACCAUGGCAAGCUUAGCUAGAGGGAGAGGCGUGUGCAGGGAUGUCAAGCUCAGACUAGAAGUCGAAGGAAGAGGUAAACAGUGAGGAGGCUUUGAGACUGGACCCAGGGUGUGGUAUUCGACUUAGCUCAGGCUUUGUCACCUGAAAACAUGGAAUAACAAUUUAGCGAUUAACAUUGUUUGGAACCAAAAGUAAGCAAAGAACUAGCAGUUUCCAGGCAGUAGUGAGUAUCAAAGUUGGGUAAUAACGUCCUUUUGCUUCCAGACAGUCUGUCUAAUUCACAGCACAACUUCUGAGGGCAGAGUGAUCAAAGCCUGAGAUCUGAGUUCCCGUCAAUGACAGGCCAGUAAAACUUAAGAAAGACCCCCUCCCCCUGGCCCCCAUCUCAGCCAAGUGGGCUGGGAUUCACCACCAGGAUUUAAUUCUUGUAAAAGAUUCAAAAUCCAACUCAGGAACAGAAGCAGACACAGAAUCCUACAGAUUGACAGAGGGACAAAUGGACUGAGCUCGGGCUAAGCUCAUUUCCUAGAACCAGGCACCUGGCUUGGUGAAAGAGAAAGGAAUUCAAAUAUUUCCAGCAGAAAUUAUUGAGUGCAAGGAUUUCAAGGCUUUCGAAUCUUUGGGGGCAUGCAUUAGUUGGUUUCCACGGCUGACCAUGAUACGUGACUGAAAGCACUUGAGUGAAGACUGGGCUCACGUUUCAGAGGAUUUCAGUCCAUCAUGACAUGGAAAGUACAGAGGAGCAGUUCAGAUCAUGGCGGCCAAAGCUGCAGUAGUACCCUGGCAGGCCAGACUGCAGACGGAGGGCGUGCUUCAGUUCUUAGGAAACAGCCACACAAUGGUGCCCAUGAGGGAUCAGAGCUAGAAGAACCAUUGGGUCCUACACAAAGAAAUGAUGGUCAGAGAGACACAAGCUUGCUUGUGGAAACCUCAGGAAAUUCUAAGCCUAUUUCUUCCAUCAAAAUGAAAGGAACUCAUUGAUGAAAUCGUGAGUCCAUUAAGAUUGAGUGGUACAUCUCCAUUAAGCCAUGAUUUGCAUCAUAAAACAGAUUAAAAUGAAAAAUGGAAGCACUCUCUUGGAAAGGAAAUGUACAAAAGAACCUUUGAAGGCUCUCCGAAUGAAGACUGAAUAACACUCCACCAAGCACCAAGAAAACAAGGGACAGAGAAAGGUACUGACUGAGCCAAGGUACUGACUGAAGCCCUCAGCCAGAUAAGUGAUGUGACUCAGAGCUCAGUUUGGGGCAGACAGCUGAAGCCAGAGAACAUUCCGAGCCGUAGGUAAACACUUACAUUAAGUAUCCUGAUGGAGCAAGGGCUUCCACCGCAGCGUGGCUACAGUGGCCUGCGCUGAAGUACGUGUGGGUCGUUAUCUCUACAUUAAUGGAGUCUGGAGAGCCACCCUCUCACCCAGCUAAAAGCCUGGGCUUACAUGUGGCUCUGAGUGUAUGAAAAUAUCGUUCAUCUCAACCUUUCUCAAAAAGUCUGAGAAAAUAGUCCUGUGAGGAGAACUAUAUCUCAGGAAUCUAGAUUACUAAUUCUGAAUUAGCAAUGCAUGAAGUUCUCCAGAGUUCUGGGAGAGUGUUGGGGGAACAUCUUUUGCCUAUCAGGCUGCUUUUGUUUCUUGUACAUUUUUUACUUAGACAAGCACCAAGACCUUUGGCCAAAAAGAGAGACUGGCUUAAAGGACUGGAAUGUCUGGGAGAAUUAGCUGUUUGAUGGAAACUUGACAGAUAAAUGAGCAAGAGAAUGAUUGACGGUCAAAUUCCCCUGGAGGAACCACUGCGCUGGUGUAUGAGAGGCAGUUUGUCCCAGCUCGCAGGAACCUGUGGUACCAACUCUUCAAAAUUCCCUGUUCAGUGACUUCAUAGGAGGUUGAAAUUGGCCACAAUGGGAGUGUUUACACUGUCAAACCUGGCAGCUGUAGCAAAUCGGGCUUUUCUUUUUACUGUUCUCAGCUUGUUGCACCCACCACUAGAAAGUAUAUUAUUAAAUAUUUAUCGG